rnacentral:rRNA from 1 species
CCUACGGGAGGCAGCAGUGGGGAAUAUUGCACAAUGGGCGCAAGCCUGAUGCAGCGACGCCGCGUGAGGGAUGGAGGCCUUCGGGUUGUAAACCUCUUUUGUUCAAGGGCAAGGCACGGUCUUUGGCCGUGUUGAGAGGAUUGUUCGAAUAAGCACCGGCUAACUACGUGCCAGCAGCCGCGGUAAUACGUAGGGGGCAAGCUUUAUCCGGAUUUAUUGUGCGUAAAGGGCUCGUAGUCGGUUCGUCGCGUCCGGUGUGAAAGUCCAUCGCUUAACGGAGGAUCCUCGCCGGGUACGGGCGGGGG